rnacentral:tRNA from 1 species
AGUAGAAUGGCUGAGAUAGGUGAAGGAUUGUAAAUCUUUUAAGGAGUUAGGGACUCUUCUACUA